AAAAGGUACAUGUGUCUGGUCUCACUCUGGCUUCCUGCAGUACUCGGGCUGCAGCGCGCUCACAGAGACAGUGACACUCGCAGCUGCGGCUGUGCAAGCAGCGCUGUCUGGCGUUAGCAGUGACCCCAGGCUGCAGGAAGUAGCUGUUUUUGCCAGGACACAGCGUGUCAGUAAAUGGUGCAAACUGCCACACACACAGACAAGAAGCUGCAAUGCACAAACCAGCAGAAACCAAACAGGAGGCACAGAGAAUAAAGACACACUGUAGGGACAGAAACAAACUCUGCAUCUUUCCACCGAGGAGGCAAGAGGUCAGCAUACUUGUAUCAUGAAUGGAAAAUCACAGCCUAGGUUGGCUGUAAUACACUGGAAGGAUUUGGGGCAAACACGUCUUGCUGAGUGCAGCACAGCCUGUGGUCAGACAUCUCACCCGGAAAGCAGCUGCAGGUCUGCAGCGAUUAGAGCAACAUGACAAAUGUGGAAUGUGAACUGAGAAAAGAAGCCAGACAGCUUAUUUCCCUCUAACUAUAGACUGUUAGUAAACGUUACACUUACAAUCUGACUGACUGCACGCUGUGACUGUGUAGUAGGUAACUUGGCUAGAUUCAACCCUAGUGUGUAUAUCCCCUCCAUGAACUCCCUCCAGAUCUAUAAGACCACACAUGACCCUGGUUCCACACUCAGACUGAGAACAGUAGUUGGUCAAAGCAUGUAACAUUCCCCAUAAUAAACUUCUCAAAUUCCACA